UGGUUCUGGCAUCGAUGAAGAACGCAGCGAAAUGCGAUAAGUAAUGUGAAUUGCAGAAUUCAGUGAAUCAUCGAAUCUUUGAACGCACAUUGCGCCCUUUGGUAUUCCGAAGGGCAUGCCUGUUCGAGCGUCAUUUCAAACUCUCAAGCUUAUGCUUGGUGUUGGGCUUUUUUUCGUCUCUCACCAGACGUGCCUGAAACUCAUUGGCAGUAGCGCCUAGCUCUUUAGCGUAGUUAAUUUUUUUUCCCGCUCUAGUAGUUUUCUUAGGUGCUACCGGCCAGAUGAACCCCCCCCAUUUUUUUCUAUGGUUUGACCUCGGAUCAGGUAGGGAUACCCGCUGA
rnacentral:misc_RNA from 1 species